ACAACCUUACUUGAACAGGAUCUGUUCUAUAGGCUCAUACCUCUGCACCCUUGAUUUCUAAGGAGGCAGGUCACCAAGUCUGGUGGAUGAACCAUGACUGCAUGACCAGAGCGUGAUUAACAGCCCUGUAACCUUGUGUUGGCCAUACGAGGACCUUGUGUUGGCCAUGCGAGCCGUAGAGGAUCGUUUUGUGCAGUUGUCUGACAGACC
rfam:Daucus carota subsp. sativus cultivar DH1 chromosome 1, whole genome shotgun sequence.